CCAGAGAACUUUCCAGAGAUGGAUUGGUGCCUUCGGGAACUCUGAGACAGGUGCUGCAUGGCUGUCGUCAGCUCGUGUUGUGAAAUGUUGGGUUAAGUCCCGCAACGAGCGCAACCCUUAUCCUUUGUUGCCAGCGGUUAGGCCGGGAACUCAAAGGAGACUGCCAGUGAUAAACUGGAGGAAGGUGGGGAUGACGUCAAGUCAUCAUGGCCCUUACGAGUAGGGCUACACACGUGCUACAAUGGCGCAUACAAAGAGAAGCGACCUCGCGAGAGCAAGCGGACCUCAUAAAGUGCGUCGUAGUCCGGAUUGGAGUCUGCAACUCGACUCCAUGAAGUCGGAAUCGCUAGUAAUCGUAGAUCAGAAUGCUACGGUGAAUACGUUCCCGGGCCUUGUACACACCGCCCGUCACACCAUGGGAGUGGGUUGCAAAAGAAGUAGGUAGCUUAACCUUCGGGAGGGCGCUUACCACUUUGUGAUUCAUGACUGGGGUGAAGUCGUAACAAGGUAAGCGUAGUGCU
rnacentral:rRNA from 1 species